UCGGGAAUUUUGGGCAAUGGGGGAAACCCUGACCCAGCAACGCCGCGUGAAGGAUGAAGUAUUUCGGUAUGUAAACUUCGAAAGAAUAGGAAGAAUAAAUGACGGUACUAUUUAUAAGGUCCGGCUAACUACGUGCCAGCAGCCGCGGUAAUACGUAGGGACCAAGCGUUGUUCGGAUUUACUGGGCGUAAAGGGCGCGUAGGCGGCAUGACAAGUCACUUGUGAAAUCUCUGGGCUUAACCCAGAACGGCCAAGUGAUACUGUCGCGCUAGAGUGCAGAAGGGGCAAUCGGAAUUCUUGGUGUAGCGGUGAAAUGCGUAGAUAUCAAGAGGAACACCUGAGGUGAAGACGGGUUGCUGGGCUGACACUGACGCUGAGGCGCGAAAGCCAGGGGAGCAAACAGGAUUAGAUACCCAGGUAGUCCCUGAGCGGGCUGGCAAGGCGCAU
rnacentral:rRNA from 1 species